GGGGAAUCUUGCACAAUGGGGGCAACCCUGAUGCAGCGACGCCGCGUGAGCGAUGAAGCCCUUCGGGGCGUAAAGCUCUUUCGACCGGAACGAUAAUGACGGUACCGGGAGAAGAAGCUGCGGCUAACUACGUGCCAGCAGCCGCGGUAAUACGUAGGCAGCAAGCGUUGUUCGGAGUUACUGGGCGUAAAGAGUGCGUAGGCGGUUUUCUAAGUUCGGUGUGAAAUCUCCCGGCUUAACUGGGAGGGUGCGCCGAAGACUGGGAAGCUGGAGCGUGGGAAAGGCAGGCGGAAUUCCUGGUGUAGCGGUGAAAUGCGUAGAUAUCAGGAGGAACACCGGCGGUGUAGACGGCUUGCUAGACCAUAACUGACGCUGAGGCACGAAAGCGUGGGUAGCAAACA
rnacentral:rRNA from 1 species